GACGAACGCUGGCGGCGUGCUUAACACAUGCCAGUCGAACGGAAAGGCCCUGCUUUUGUGGGGUGCUCGAGUGGCGAACGGGUGAGUAACACGUGAGUAACCUGCCCUUGACUUUGGGAUAACUUCAGGAAACUGGGGCUAAUACCGGAUAGGAGCUCCUGCUGCAUGGUGGGGGUUGGAAAGUUUCGGCGGUUGGGGAUGGACUCGCGGCUUAUCAGCUUGUUGGUGGGGUAGUGGCUUACCAAGGCUUUGACGGGUAGCCGGCCUGAGAGGGUGACCGGCCACAUGGGGACUGAGAUACGGCCCAGACUCCUACGGGAGGCAGCAGUGGGGAAUAUUGCACAAUGGGCGGAGGCCUGAUGCAGCAACGCCGCGUGCGGGAUGACGGCCUUCGGGUUGUAAACCGCUUUCGCCUGUGACGAAGCGUGAGUGACGGUAAUGGGUAAAGAAGCACCGGCUAACUACGUG
rnacentral:rRNA from 1 species